GGCUCUAUAGUUCAACGGCAGAACAGGAGAUUCAUACCCUCCAUAUGGAAGUUCAAUUCUUCCUAGAGUCA
rnacentral:tRNA from 1 species